UGACCCAUCCCCCAAUCCCGAUUCAGCCGCCGCCAACCACACGUGGUAUCCUCCUUGAUUUCCCCUCCUGCCCAAUCCUGUGGAGCCUCCUCGCUUGACAGUGCCCGAGGCCACCUCCUCUGCUCGAUCCCAGGGGAAUCACAAGUAGCUCAUCCCCGGCAACCAGAUCGCUGGACGUGUCUAGCUCCCAGCAGACGCAAGCGCUCGCCCCGAACUCCUUGAUUCGCCGAGCACGAGCACCACCUCAUGAACGCCUCUUCGGUCGGCCGCCCUGCAGGAGCUUCAUCUGCGCCACCGUCCGGCCGUCGGACCAGCAUGUCCCCAGCUCAUGUCUUUUUUCCUUCUUGGUUCUCCUUCCUCCUACCCUUCUUCCUCCCCUUCUCUCAUGUCUCUCUUGCUCUAUUGCAUCAGGUUCCAGCCAGGGAGUAUGCCAUGAAUGGCUGGCCUUAAGCUUGUGUGGUGAGUCCCUCAAUCACCGGGAACGAGACCAAUGCCUCAAGAUCCGGCGCCCCAAGGCCUCGAUCCGGUUCGUCCCCGUCGCCUUCGGCCAGGACCUCAUCACCCUCGCCGUCCCCGUGUAGUUCUUGCCGGAUCACGCCUCUGCUUCGCCACUGACCAUCGACCCCGAGCCCCUGGUGAGCGCCCUGCCUACAACCCGCUUUGCUUCAUCGCUUGCACGCGAGACGAGCCAGCCCCCCGUAGCUCAUUUGCAUGCACGCACGCACGCACGCACCAACACACAUUCCCGCACGCCCGCAGCUGCUCUGCAUCGUUGUGAAGGCUUGGCCUUGCCCAGCUUAAGAAGCAGCGUCUAGCCUCUAAACACUCGCUCACAGCAAGCCUAGUUGGCUAGCAAGCCAGUCUUCCUUCCAAGAGAUAGUGGGUUCGAUUCCUAGUGAGCACACAUUUUACUCUAUUUUGGUAUUUUUUUUCCUAGAUUUGUUCCCCAUUUAGGGGAUACUAAGGUCCUGUUUCAUACUACUUUGGUCCUUAAAAUUCAUCUUUCUUCCACAAAAGACAAGCCAAACGAGGUAACUCCACGAUAUGCUGCUCCAUAAAAAAACUAGAAUGUGGGGUACAACUUCAAAGUUUUUAUGAAGCUCAAGAGGGUGCUUCAAAUAACUCUAAAAGUUGGAGUUGGGGGAAAAUUACCCACCACUGCCACCAGUAAGUGGAUACCCCUUCAUUUCUUUCUCCUCAACCAAUCAAAUAGAUUUUUUCCACCAAAAUUUCUAUUCUUGAAGCUGGAGCUACAUAGAAGCCAAACAUUCUCUUGAUAGUGCUAUAGCUUUUGUAUGAAACUACUCUAAAGUGAAUUUGAUGAAGUGAAACUGGUUUUGGUGAAUUGAAGCAGUCCUAAACAGGCCCUAAGAAAUGGAUUUAUGUUAGGACUCGAGCCCCAGUCGGAGAGGCUAGUACCUAGCGUGUCCAUUCAAGAGGUUUGGGAUCGAAACCCAAAGCCACCCCUAUUUUUUUUUUUCUUGUUCUGCUAUAUUUGUUAUUCCCUCUCGUUUUGCACUCAGUCAGUUCCUUGGGCCGAUUUCAGCCUUGGGUCGUUACACUACGUUGCAAUUCAGUCCAUGUAUAUUUCUUUCCACCUACAGUUUGCUAUUUGUUUCUUUAGAAAAACCAUUGAUUUUAAAAUGCUUGUACUGUGGUGAAUAACUUGUGUUGAUUCUUGUUUCCGGUUUGCUUCGUCUCGAUAGAGUUCCGUAAGCAUGUCGGAAUGUGAUGAUCCAUUCGACUACAUCGAUUCGUCUGCUUCACGGAGUCGUUCUUCUUCCAAGCGGGAUCAUAGGCANNNNN
rnacentral:lncRNA from 1 species